UGCUUGCAGAUCGACCAAAAAGUGGAACGAUCCUAUAUCUCGGAUCAACCAAGAGUUCGGGGAUGCAAACCGGCUCCGCCUGUGACGCCGAUACAGUCAAUGCUGCCGUGUCCGUAUAGGCGCUGAAUCGUUACCACCUCAAACAGUAAUAAAUAUAAUAAAAAUCACCUCAGAUAGUACUGAAACACUACAUUAUCCUGAUUUCUUCAUUUGAUCUUAGCUUUCCGAAUGAUAUUGAACAGCAAAAUAGAAAAAAAACAAAUCAUAAAAUAAUGUUAUUGCAUCGAGAAUAAUAGCUGAUUCGAUGCGGUCAUGUAAACGUUAAACUGGUGCUGUUCUUCUACUUCUUUCCAUGUGUCAAAACGGGCUUUUUACGACACCUCCUCUCAACUCAUUUUGGAGAUAACAGAAAUUGUCUCUCAACAUUACAUGCAUCCAAAAACAAAAGAAGUGCUUGUCUAAAAAGGAUCCCGUAAUGUGUAUGAAAUCGAAAAAGCACCAGCCAAGCAAAACAUUACCGCUAUGAUUUCCUUCAACGCAUGUGGAUUUGUAGUGGAUCCACAUGUCAUAUUUCCGGGACAGCGAUUAAAACGAGACAUUUUACAAGGAUUUCCUUCAACAUGGGGUGUGGGUCAUAGUGAACGUGGACGGAUGGAUUCUAAAAAUUUCCGACUGUGCAUUGAAAAAGUGUUUCAUUCGUGUUUAGUGAAGAAAGGUGAAACUUUUCCUGUUAUUAUAUUUGUAGAUGGCCAUAUAUCUCAUAAGUCAAUAGAAAUUGCCGAUGUUUCCCAAUCACUUGGAAUUAUUUUAAUAACUUUAUAUCCCAACACAACCCACAUUACCCAACCGGCAGACGUUGCAGUUUUCAAACCACUGAAAGAUGCAUGGAGAGGUACAUUAGAGUAAUGGCAUUUUGAAAAUGUAAAUCAAAAUUUCACCUUAAUUUAUUUUGGCGAAAUACUACAAAAAGCAUUACAAUAGGGCGUAAAAACAAAUAGCAUAAAAAGUGGAUUCCGUGCUUGUGGGUUAUAUCCGUUUACCCCAGAAAACGUAGACUAUAACAAAUGCUUAAACAAAUUGCCUUCCCACUCUAGUCAAAACCGUCAUGAACCAUCUGUUCAAAAUGCUUCCCUUAAUGCAGAAGAUAACAAUACCUAUGCGCGAUACCCCAUUACCUGUAGAACGGCAACAAGGUCCUAAAUUAGUUAAAAUAUGUGCAUCAAUUCCGUUGGACAAAUUAUGUCACGCAUUAGACAUGAUUGGGGAAGAAACAUUAAAUAGGAUUACCAUAAAAGACAUAACAAAGCUGUCCCGCCUGGAAAGAUGCAUUAAAUAUUUUUACACGGAGUGCAUCAAGCCAUAUGUAUCAAUAGAGUCCGAAAUCGAAGAUAAUAAUUCAAACAUAUUAAAUCCAGAAAAUGUACCUUAUUUUGAAAUAGAAUCAUCUGAAUCACACAACCAUUCACCAGAUCAUUUCAUUGCCUGUUCAAUCGAAGAAAACUUUCCACGUGAACCAGUAUCCAGCAAUCAAAACUUCCAAUGCUUCGUAAAACAUCAUCAUCGAUCCAAGUGAGCAGUACAAUCAGUUAUUCAUCGAACCAGUCGCAUCAAACCUUUCAAAUGAAGAUUGCAGCAUCGAGCGCCUGGAAGAAGAAUAUGUUGAAGAACCUGAUCUGGAAGAAAAUGACGAUACUACCCAGUUGUGACUGCCAGAGAACGAUUGCAAGAAAUGAAUCUCAAAGAGGAGGAAAAACUUCGGCAGCAGGAAGAACGGAAACGCAAGGCUGUCGAACGUCAAGAAGCCAAAGAACUUCGUGAAACGGAGCAAAAAGCUAAAAAAGAGGCCCGAUUGAAGAAAGUGAUAAUAAAAAACUGUGCAAUAAGAGUAUAAAAUAACUAUAGUUAAGUGCAAUAAAUGUUAUUAGAUUCCUUAUAAAA